GACGUAGGGGGCCAGCGUUGUUCGGAAUUACUGGGCGUAAAGGGCUCGUAGGUGGCCAACUAAGUCAGACGUGAAAUCCCUCGGCUUAACCGGGGAACUGCGUCUGAUACUGGAUGGCUUGAGUUUGGGAGAGGGAUGCGGAAUUCCAGGUGUAGCGGUGAAAUGCGUAGAUAUCUGGAGGAACACCGGUGGCGAAGGCGGCAUCCUGGACCAACACUGACACUGAGGAGCGAAAGCCAGGGGAGCAAACGGG
rnacentral:rRNA from 1 species